GAUGAACGCUGGCGGCGUGCCUAAUACAUGCAAGUCGAGCGAACAGAUAAGGAGCUUGCUCCUUUGACGUUAGCGGCGGACGGGUGAGUAACACGUGGGUAACCUACCUAUAAGACUGGGAUAACUUCGGGAAACCGGAGCUAAUACCGGAUAACAUUUGGAACCGCAUGGUUCUAAAGUGAAAGAUGGUUUUGCUAUCACUUAUAGAUGGACCCGCGCCGUAUUAGCUAGUUGGUAAGGUAACGGCUUACCAAGGCAACGAUACGUAGCCGACCUGAGAGGGUGAUCGGCCACACUGGAACUGAGACACGGUCCAGACUCCUACGGGAGGCAGCAGUAGGGAAUCUUCCGCAAUGGGCGAAAGCCUGACGGAGCAACGCCGCGUGAGUGAUGAAGGGUUUCGGCUCGUAAAACUCUGUUAUUAGGGAAGAACAAACGUGUAAGUAACUGUGCACGUCUUGACGGUACCUAAGCAGAAAGCCACGGCUAACUACGU
rnacentral:rRNA from 1 species